CGCCAGCAGGGGGCGCCCGGCGCCGCCUUAAAGAGACAGAGCCCUUUUCUCCGGUUGGCCCGUGAGAGCUGUGCCAGCGCGGCCCCUGCCCCGCUGAGGGCACCGCGCCGGGCCGCCCUCUGUGUGGGCCUGGCGUUUGCGUCACCCUCCCCUGCGGCUCUGCCCGCCGCAGCCUGCCGGCGGCACGGCGGGGGGCACUCUCCGGCCCCUCCCCGCGCCGCUGCCUGCCGGAGGGCCCGGGGCCUGCCCGCCGAGCGGGGGAGGGCCCGCGCCGCCCCGAUGCCUUGCCCAGAAAGCGGCUGCCGGGGUCAGGGGAAGGGAGCGCGCUCGGCUGCCUGCACUAAAACUCAAGGAAACGCUGCGCCCAGGAGGCAGAAGGCCGGCAAUCACCAGCAUGAGCUGGCAUCCUGAUUCUUGGGUUGUGCAUUCCUAAAUGCCGAGGCAGCUGUUCUGUGCUUCAUUUCAGAGGAAGAAUGUUUCAGUCUGAAUUACUGUGGUAUCUCACAGCACAAGUAUAAUCUUCCCAUCUUUGUUUCUCCUCUUCAUCUGAAAUGAGUAUCAUCCAGCCUGAACGUUUUCCCAUCUUUUUGCGAAUGGAAAGCACAGCUUUUGUAAUAAUUACGUCUUUCACAGAAGGGUUGGCAGUACCUGCAGUCCUGAACCGAGAUGCAGAUGAUGCUCCUGCGACGAUGCUUUCUGUGAACCAAGCUCAGAGCCCUGUACGGUGGAAACUGCUCAGCCAGUUCUGCUGACUCACAGUGCCACAACAAAUGCGGUUUAAUAACUUCAGCAGAGUAUCGGGGAAGUAGUAGAAGCAUCCAUUCAAAGGAAAGAAGGGGGAAAGCCUUAAGAAAUGUGGAAGGGGUCACUGACCUAGAGAGUAGGUAGAGACUAUUUUACAUUCUUGUCGUUAUUUACAGGAACAGUGAAGUCAUCCUAAACCAAGAGUGUAUUAGAAAGUAGGUGGGGAGUGGAAUCGCCUGCGAACAGCUCAUACCAAUGUUUUUUGAAAACGUAUACAAUACUACUUUUUCUCCAUUUGUGGUGGCUUUGAGGACUAAAUGUUUAUUUUUCUCCCUCCUCUUAAAUUAUUUGCCACGGAUCUGUUAUAACCUUUGUUUUUCAGAGCACUUUUUAUCUUAAUCAUAUUCACUGUCUUGUGCAGUUCAUUAGUUAAUGUAAUUAGAAUUAGUGAAUGUAUUUUGAUAGCGUGAUUCCUGCUGCAGAACGUUACACUGAUAUUUAAGCAUUUCAGGGAAGUGUGGUAACUUCAGGAAGAUUUGUAACUCAAAAAGGCCCAAAUACAGGACUUUAUCACGCA